rnacentral:rRNA from 1 species
UACGGAGGAGGCAAGCGUUAUCCGGAAUUAUUGGGCGUAAAGCGUCCGCAGGUGGCACUUCAAGUCUGUCGUCAAAGACCGGGGCUUAACCCUGGAAAGGCGAUGGAAACUGAAAGGCUAGAGAGAGGUAGGGGUAGAGGGAAUUCCCAGUGUAGCGGUGAAAUGCGUAGAGAUUGGGAAGAACAUCGGUGGCGAAAGCGCUCUACUGGACCGCAACUGACACUCAGGGACGAAAGCUAGGGGAGCGAAUGGG